rnacentral:piRNA from 1 species
CAAGUCAGUUUUAGAAUGUAAAUGGUUUGU